rnacentral:rRNA from 1 species
CCUACGGGUGGCAGCAGUGGGGAAUAUUGCGCAAUGGGCGAAAGCCUGACGCAGCGACGCCGCGUGAGGGAUGAAGGUCUUCGGAUCGUAAACCUCUGUCAGCAGGGAAGAACGGUCACUGUGCUAAUCAGCAGUGAAUUGACGGUACCUGCAAAGGAAGCACCGGCUAACUCCGUGCCAGCAGCCGCGGUAAUACGGUGGGUGCGAGCGUUAAUCGGAAUUACUGGGCGUAAAGCGCUCGUAGGCGGUAUGUCAAGUCAAGGGUGAAAUCCCCGCGCUCAACGUGGGAACUGCCUUUGAAACUAGCAAACUGGAGUGUGUGAGAGGAUAGUGGAAUUCCAGGUGUAGGAGUGAAAUCCGUAGAUAUCUGGAGGAACAUCAGUGGCGAAGGCGACUAUCUGGAACAUAACUGACGCUGAGGAGCGAAAGCGUGGGUAGCAAACAGGAUUAGAUACCCCAGUAGUC